rnacentral:misc_RNA from 1 species
GAUGAAGAACGUAGCGAAAUGCGAUAAGUAAUGUGAAUUGCAGAGUUCAGUGAAUCAUCGAAUCUUUGAACGCACAUUGCGCCCGCCAGCAUUCUGGCGGGCAUGCCUGUUCGAGCGUCAUUUCAACCCUCGCAGCCCAUCUGGGCAGCGGUGUUGGGGACCGGCACCACCGGCGAAGCCCUUAGGGACCCAGCCGGCGCCGCCCCCGAAAUACAGUGGCGGUCUCGCUGCAGCCUCCCUUGCGUAGUAGCACACCUCGCACCGGAGCGCAGCGCGGCCACGCCGUAAAACCCCCGACUUUCUGAGUUUGACCUCGAAUCAGGUAGGAAUACCCGCUGAACUUAAGCAUAUCAAUAAGCGGAGGA